GACGAACGCUGGCGGCGUGCUUAACACAUGCAAGUCGAACGGAAAGGCCCUGCUUGCAGGGUACUCGAGUGGCGAACGGGUGAGUAACACGUGGGUGAUCUGCCCUGCACUUCGGGAUAAGCCUGGGAAACUGGGUCUAAUACCGGAUAGGAGCCAUUUUUAGUGUGAUGGUUGGAAAGUUUUUUCGGUGUAGGAUGAGCUCGCGGCCUAUCAGCUUGUUGGUGGGGUAAUGGCCUACCAAGGCGGCGACGGGUAGCCGGCCUGAGAGGGUGGACGGCCACAUUGGGACUGAGAUACAGCCCAGACUCCUACGGGAGGCAGCAGUGGGGAAUAUUGCACAAUGGGCGCAAGCCUGAUGCAGCGACGCCGCGUGGGGGAUGACGGCCUUCGGGUUGUAAACUCCUUUCGCUAGGGACGAAGCUUUUUGUGACGGUACCUAGAUAAGAAGCACCGGCUAACUACGUG
rnacentral:rRNA from 1 species